rnacentral:rRNA from 1 species
UGGGGAAUCUUCCGCAAUGGGCGCAAGCCUGACGGAGCAACGCCGCGUGAGUGAAGAAGGUCUUCGGAUCGUAAAGCUCUGUUGAUGGGGACGAACGUGCCUAAUGCGAAUAGUAUUAGGUAAUGACGGUACCCAUCGAGGAAGCCACGGCUAACUACGUGCCAGCAGCCGCGGUAAUACGUAGGUGGCGAGCGUUGUCCGGAAUCAUUGGGCGUAAAGGGAGCGCAGGCGGGCAUGUAAGUCUUUCUUAAAAGUGCGGGGCUCAACCCCGUGAUGGGAAAGAAACUAUGUGUCUUGAGUACAGGCGAGGAAAGCGGAAUUCCCAGUGUAGCUGUGAAAUGCGUAGAUAUUGGGAGGAACACCAGUGGCGAAGGCGGCUUUCUGGACUGCAACUGACGCUGAGGCUCGAAAGCCAGGGGAGCGAACGGG